UUUACGAUCUAACUUCGAGAUAAAACCCCUAUCCAUUUGACAUCUAAAUGUCAUAGCGACUUUUGGGGUAGUUUGCUUUCGGCAAAGGGGGACAAAGUCAUGGGGUGAGAGGGAAGGAGGGCCCAAAACAGCCUCCAAGACCCUCACCAUCUCUUCACCUGCUCCCCCUCCCCCCACACACAGGUCCUGUAAGAAGUUGGGCCCAGCUGGAAGGGAUUGACCGGUUGCUUGUCUGAAGAUGGAGCCACAACGGCCAGGGCCAGGGCGCCUGGAGUCGGGCAUGAAAGGAAAUAGCGCCUCAUCGCUCUUAUCUAAGCCCAGAGACGCCUCUUCGCCCUAGGCUGGCCUCUGCGGAGAUUCCAGGCCCCACAGAGACCAGGACUUCCCUCAGCGCCACCGCCCCUCGUGCCAAUGCAGCCGGGAAAUCGCCAUUACCCACAUUGGGCAAGAGAACCGCACGGGGGCAAUCGGAGAGGCCAGGAAAAGGGAGAGAUGGAGGGAGAAGGUUCCAGGUUGGCCGUACUCAGGAGCAGGCCGAGCGGCCCAGAGGAAGCCCUGGCAGCCGGUGCUGCCAGGCUCACUGCGGACUGCACCCCAGCCCGGUAAACUCGCUGUCGCUCGCGGGGACUGAAUUUCCUUCAAUUUUAAAAUUUCAUGUGGA